CAUUUUCCCAAAUUAAGGGAGAAUGGUUUUAUGAUCUACAUCGAAUUUAUAUGGCUCAAACUCACUAUAUAUAAAAUAAACGAGAUAAUGUUUGUUUCUUCAUUUAUAUAAAAUAAAUAGAAAUAAGUUGGAGAAGGCAGAUUUGAUUUGAUGUGUAUUGACGUGGCAAUAAAUAGCCAAUAGGUGGCUGUCUGUAUUCAAGUGAUGAGCAGACCGAUCUUGUAAUUGCCAUGCCAUCUGUCCA
rnacentral:lncRNA from 1 species